rnacentral:lncRNA from 1 species
UACAAAUGGUUAAAAUGAGAAAAACAAUCUUAUGUAUAUUUUACCAUAAUAAAAAAAGCUGAAAACUACCGAACCAUAUGGCUUCUUAAUUUUUAUGUCCCUCUAGUAUGUUGCUAUUAACCUGCUUCUGCUUAAUAAUACGCCAAAGGUUUUUGCCUAUAUCACAUUAUAUUGAAAGAUCAAGAGAAACUACUGCUCAGUGAUGAUAAAUUCUAUGAUUAAUAUUAUAUUUGCAGUAUAAUCCUAACUUCCUGGAAAAAUUAUAAAGAAGGGAUAUUAAAAGCACUUUCUGGAGUUUGCGCCAUGGCACAGUGGGUUAAAAAUCCAGCUGUAGCAGGCUCAGGUCACUGUAGAAGUGCGAGUAUGAUCCCCAGCCUGAUGCACAGGGUUAAAAGGAUCCGGUGUUUCACCUGUGGCUCGGAUUCAAUCCCUGGCCCUGAACUUCCAUAUGCUACACAUGCGGCCACUAAAAAAAAAAAAAUAAAAAUGUUUUAUUAACACAAAGUUUUAUUUAUUUAUUUAUUUAUUGCCUUUUCUAGGGCUGCUCCCACACAUAUGGAGGUUCCCAGGCUAGGAGUCCAUUCGGAGCUGUAGCCACUGGCCUACGCCAGAGCCACAGCAACAUGGGAUCUGAGCUGCGUCUGCGACCUACAUAGCUCAUGGCAACAUCGGAUCCUUAACCCACCAAGCAAGGCCAGGGAUUGAACCCCUAACCUCAUGGUUCCUAGUCGGAUUUGUUAACCACUGAGCCACAACAGGAACUCCAACACAAAUUUUAAAUAAGUAUUUUAAAAUUGGGUCAGUUGGGAAGCAGACUUCCAAGAUAGCUUCCUAUUAUCCCUGUCUUCUGGUGCUCAUGCCCUCAUAUAAUUCCUUCCCCUUGAGUAGACCUAGUGACUUGCUUCUAACCAACAGAAUAUGACAGAUUUUCUGUGGUUCAAAUAUUAAGACCCUGACUUCCAAUUUUGUAACAGAUUCUCUAUUGACUUCUUGGUUUCUAGGCUUUGAUGAAGCAAACUGUCAUGUUGGAAAGUGUGAUGGUUAAUUUUAUCUGUCAACUUGGCUAGGCUAUGGUGCCCAGCUGUUUGGUCAAAUAUCAGACUAGAUGUUGCUGUGAAAAUAUUUCUUAGAUGUGAUUAACAUCUAAAAUCAGUAGACUUUGAGUAAAGCAGAUUACCUUCUAUAAUGCAAGUGGGCCCUGUCCAAUCAGUUGAAGGCCUUAAGAGAAAAUAUCGAGGUCUCCAGAAGAAAGGGGAAUUCUAUCAGUAGGCAGCCUCAGGACAGGAGCUGAAACAUUAACUCUUCUUUGGGUCUCCUGCCUGCCAGCCUGCCCUGCAGAUUUUGGACUUGGCAGCCUGCACAAUGACUUGAGCCAAUUUCUUAAAAUAAAAUAGUCUCUCUCUCUAUAUAUACUUAUAUAAAUCCUAUGUAUUCUGUUUCUCUAGGGAACCCUGACUAAUUCAGAGAGGUCCACAUGGCAGGGGACUGAGGAGAGCCUAAGUCCACCAACCACUAAAAAGGUCCAUCCCUCAAUUCAGUAGACUGAACCUCCCCAAAGGCACUGUCUGAACUUGGAAGCAGAUCUUUCCCAGUUGAAUCUUGAUUGCAGCUUUCUGAGACCCCCUUAAACAGAGAACCAGUUGGCCUGUGCCUGGAUUUUUCAUCCAUAGAAACUGUAAGAAAAUGAAUACGUGCUAUAUUAAGCUGCAAUAAUAAAUAACCAAUACAGUUUUUUUUUUAAAAAAUCAUUAGCAAAAUAAGAACAUCUGGAAAAGAUCUUGACUUUUUUUUGAUGUAUGUUGUUUUAUAUUUUGCAAAAAAAAGUUAGCUUAUAAUUUAUAAUUACCUGAAAGUAGUCAUCUACCUUCUUUCCUUCUAAUUUGUUACUUCCAAUCUGCUGUAAAAUAGCACAUCCUAGCUAGACUUUUUAACAUUAAAUUAAAUGAACUGUGAGUUGUGAGUGUCUAAAGAACUCUUUGGAAAGAGGGCAGGCGCAUGAUUUUGGUACAUAGGCUUCUUGCCAUUUAUUGUGGUGUGUAGGUGCUAUUUUAUUUCCUGGAAGUCCCCCCCUCCAUGUUUCUGGAAAAGAAAUAUCCAGGGGAUCAUUUAUUUGAAUUUUUUUAAAACUUGAAAUAUAAGAGAGACAGAGAGGGUGACAGAGAAAGAGAGAGAAAUAAAACAUGGGUUUUCCUGCAUAAAUUAAGGCAAAAACCUCACGUGGGAUUUGAGACCACACCAACCUUGAAGUGAUAUUUUGAAUGGGAAGAGUUUGGGCAUCCUUACAUUAUUUAUUUUUAUUUUCAUUUUUUGUCUUCAGCUUCAAAGUUUUACUUCCACAGAUUUCUUAUCUUUGAGCUUACAUCUUCUCCUAAUAUUUGAAGAACCAGUGAUUCAAAAUGAGGGCAGCAAUGUCAAAUCAUGUUUUGAGCAGAGAGCAGGCAGCAGAAGGCCUUGGGAUUUAUUUCUGCCUCCACAAGUGACUUGCAAUGCAGUGGGGCAUGCUGUGCUGCUGCAUCUCCCUGAAAAUUGCUGGUCUCCAGCAUGGGCAGAUUCACAGAGUUUGGGAGAGGUAUUUCAUGCUUGUAAAUACUCCAAGACCCUUGACCUAAAGAUACUAGUGAGGUACAAAGUAUUAUUUUCAAGUGACUGAACAUCUUGCACCCCUGAACUCUGCAGAAUAAAGUGGUUUGUGUAGUUUACUUAACACUUCUCGUGUUUGGUUUUCCUGAUUGCUUGACACGAAAGAAAUAGAGAAGAUCCAAAUGAAAUUGUUAGAACACCAUGACACAUAACAAAUUUCAUGCUGAUUUUGAGGGUAUUCUUUUUUGUAUUAUUCAGUGUUUCUUCACUUUCCAUGAAUCUGUUUUGUUUCAUGGAUCUUGAGAUCUAGCUGUGAUU